rnacentral:rRNA from 1 species
GCUUGCUUGGUGGAUCAGUGGCGAACGGGUGAGUAACACGUGAGCAACCUGCCCUGGACUCUGGGAUAAGCGCUGGAAACGGCGUCUAAUACUGGAUAUGAGACGUGAUCGCAUGGUCGUGUUUGGAAAGAUUUUUCGGUCUGGGAUGGGCUCGCGGCCUAUCAGCUUGUUGGUGAGGUAAUGGCUCACCAAGGCGUCGACGGGUAGCCGGCCUGAGAGGGUGACCGGCCACACUGGGACUGAGACACGGCCCAGACUCCUACGGGAGGCAGCAGUGGGGAAUAUUGCACAAUGGGCGGAAGCCUGAUGCAGCAACGCCGCGUGAGGGAUGACGGCCUUCGGGUUGUAAACCUCUUUUAGCAGGGAAGAAGCGAAAGUGACGGUACCUGCAGAAAAAGCGCCGGCUAACUACGUGCCAGCAGCCGCGGUAAUACGUAGGGCGCAAGCGUUAUCCGGAAUUAUUGGGCGUAAAGAGCUCGUAGGCGGUUUGUCGCGUCUGCUGUGAAAUCCCGAGGCUCAACCUCGGGUCUGCAGUGGGUACGGGCAGACUAGAGUGCGGUAGGGGAGAUUGGAAUUCCUGGUGUAGCGGUGGAAUGCGCAGAUAUCAGGAGGAACACCGAUGGCGAAGGCAGAUCUCUGGGCCGUAACUGACGCUGAGGAGCGAAAGGGUGGGGAGCAAACAGGCUUAGAUACCCUGGUAGUCCACCCCGUAAACGUUGGGAACUAGUUGUGGGGACCAUUCCACGGUUUCCGUGACGCAGCUAACGCAUUAAGUUCCCCGCCUGGGGAGUACGGCCGCAAGGCUAAAACUCAAAGGAAUUGACGGGGACCCGCACAAGCGGCGGAGCAUGCGGAUUAAUUCGAUGCAACGCGAAGAACCUUACCAAGGCUUGACAUAUACGAGAACGGGCCAGAAAUGGUCAACUCUUUGGACACUCGUAAACAGGUGGUGCAUGGUUGUCGUCAGCUCGUGUCGUGAGAUGUUGGGUUAAGUCCCGCAACGAGCGCAACCCUCGUUCUAUGUUGCCAGCACGUAAUGGUGGGAACUCAUGGGAUACUGCCGGGGUCAACUCGGAGGAAGGUGGGGAUGACGUCAAAUCAUCAUGCCCCUUAUGUCUUGGGCUUCACGCAUGCUACAAUGGCCGGUACAAAGGGCUGCAAUACCGUGAGGUGGAGCGAAUCCCAAAAAGCCGGUCCCAGUUCGGAUUGAGGUCUGCAACUCGACCUCAUGAAGUCGGAGUCGCUAGUAAUCGCAGAUCAGCAACGCUGCGGUGAAUACGUUCCCGGGUCUUGUACACACCGCCCGUCAAGUCAUGAAAGUCGGUAACACCUGAAGCCGGUGGCCCAACCCUUGUGGAGGGAGCCGUCGAAGGUGGGAUCGGUAAUUAGGACUAAGUCGUAA